rnacentral:lncRNA from 1 species
GCAGAGUGGGCGGGAAAACGUGAAGGAAGACAAGAGCCCGCGCGGGAGGUUCCGCUUCGGCCCUUGACAGUUAAUGACACCCGCAACUCCGCUUAAAUCCUGUGAAAUCGCCCGCGGGAGUUAAAUGGUUAAAAUCACUCCUAGAAAACAAAUUGGCGCCAGGUGUGGUGGCACACGCCUGAAUCCCAGCACUCGGGGAGGCGGGAAGAUCGCUGGGCGGUGGAGACCAGCCUGAAUUACAUAGUGAGUUUAAGGCCUGCCUGAACCUCGUAGCAAGACCCCGCCAAAAGGAGCUGGGGAUUUAGCUCAGCGGCACAACGCUUGCCUGGCAAACGCAAGGUCGUGAGUUCGAUUCCCGAUACUAGAAAACAAACAAACAACUCCCCCCACCCCCAAAACAAAAAGACCCUGCCAAAAACAAAAAAAGAAAACGAAUUGACAAUGUGUAUCACGUAGCCUUUGGUCUAACAAUUCCACUUCUACAAAUUCAAAGGAAGGACAUAAUCAAGAAUAUGUGUAUAUGUAACGAUCUGUGUAAUGUAGAAGUCAGUUGCCAUAUUUAUACCAGCCUCAAAGUCCGAAACCAAAAAAUACAUGUUGAACAGUAAGAGAUUGGUUAAGUAAAUUGCAACAAGUUUGUAUGCUGUAGUUUGCCCACUGUAUGACUUUAAUGACAAGAGAAAAUGUUCACCAGAAGGAUACAAAGUAGCAGUUACAACAAAUCCCAAUUUUAUUUGAUGGUUACAACUGGAGACUUCUGUAGCAUGGUUAAAGAGUGUGCGCCCACUUUUCGGGUGACAGCUCUGGUUCUUCCUCUGCGGAACCAGCCCUUCCUCCCCCUCAGUGCGGACAGGAAGUGUGGCGCUGAGCCCAUCCUCCCGGUGGAUGAGGAGGGAGCCUGGGAACCAAGCCCGGCCAGUCACAGGCUUCUCAUGAGACUCUGCUGAAACUACAGAAGCAGAAUAUUUAUACAAAAUGAGGGAACUGACUGGGGAAAAAUAACUGAAAUAAACUCUCUAGCUUCAUUUGCUGUUAGUUGACUUAAAAAAAAAAUCACUAAUUUUGGAGGUCCCAUGGCUGGGUAAUACAUGAUUAGCUUCCCAGCAGCUCUGUGGUAGAUAUCACCCCUAACCUGUGUGCUAGCUGCCUAGGUUACUUUGAGGACACUUGAAGACCGCUUUUGAUGAAAACACUGAUUCUUCACUUGAGCCUACAGAUAUGAUGAGUGGCUAAAAUGGGAUAAAAGUCUUGGCUGCUCUGUCUUGAUUUAUGUCUGUUCCCUUUGCAGUCUUAACCUUUGGGUCAUAUUUUCCUCGGUCCUGCACUUAGACAGGCUGAUCAUUUAAAAAAUGUUUUGUCUAGGACUGUAAUGCGGGAUUAAUUUGGCCCAUUGCCCACUGGAGCUGGUAUAUGUUUCUGCUACUCACUUUGGUGGCUUUGCAGCAGCAAAGCACCUAAAAUCCUUUAGCUCUAUCAUAAGGCCUGGACCAACCACAAGACCGGAAUGUUUGCACAGGACAAGGGCACCAACUACAAGACCCAGGACAAGCGGAUCAUGACCAGCAGUGGUCACAAGAAAGAAACAUCUUUUUGAAACCAUGUCCCUGGCCAGUGGAAACUUAUUGAACUUUAGCCUACUGAGGAAAUCAGUAAAAGUUCACUGCUUUCUUUGUUCUGUGAGCAGCUUGGUCAUCUCUCUAUCAAUGAUGAUUUUCUUCAGCUGCAGCCCCCUACCUCGUUCUUUCAAUAAAGCUUUGCCUGUGCAAGAGUGUGUGGCCCACAGUAUUUAAUGCAGCCUCACUUCUAUUGUUCC